rnacentral:lncRNA from 1 species
GUGACCAUCCCUUUGUCCCAAAUGGUUGCUAAUUGCAUGUGGGGUAGGUGCAACCACGCGUGGAGGUGACCAACGACGAAGGCCCCACCCUCAUCGGACCCUAACAUCCGCCUCCCCUCCCCUCUGCUCCAUUAGACUCGCACCCUCGCACGAGAAAGGUAGGGGCACAAAGGCCACCACCACCUCCUUCCUCACAUGAAGGUUAUGGGUGGGACGGAUAGAAUUUGCAAAAACAAGAUAGCCCUUGUGCCCCCUCCGUGCACGAGGGUUGCGGGCAACAUAUCCAACGAGGCAGAAGAGAGGGGAAGCGACUGCUAGGGUCUAACGAGGCCACAAGGGCGAUGGCGAAGGCGAAGGCGACACAAGAUAGCAGUGCAAGGAGAGGAGGUAACAUUUGGUUCGUUGUAGGCGAUGCAAGACAAUGGUGUAGGGAGGAGGAGGUGAUGAUUGAUCCAAUGGAAGCACAGGUGUGAUCUUACUAUGAUUGUUAUGCGAGAAUUUCUCAAAAUUUAGAUGCUUCAUAGGAAAUUCUCAAAUUUAUGAGUUUUUUUUAUAAGAACUCAGCCCAUCUUUAAAUAGCCAUCAUCCUAGUGUGACAAAAUCUUUUUAAUUUUAAAAAAAAUUAAAAAUAAUAUAUUUGUCCUCACAAAAUCUCUUAGAGAUAUCUAGCGAUGAAUGCACCGUUGAAUACUUAGUAUGUCUUAUGCCCUAAUCCACCAAAAAAAAAUCGUAUAAUAUAAUGAAUAAAAAUUAGUCUAAAAAUAUAUAUGUUACCAACUUUGAAAGGAUAAUAUAAUUAAAAAAAAACAUACCAGCAUCCUUCCUCGAUCGAAUUAUAUCACAUCAAAUCAUACUCCAACGAAAAAAAAUAUAAUUAAGCUUGUAUCAUAAUAUAUGGGGCAAUUUUUUGAAACUAGUUACUAACUUAAGAGUUUUUUCUCGCAGUGAAAAGACUAUUUUACCCCCUAACAUUGAAAACCAAGCCCUAGCCGACAAUGACCGCCUGGCCCACCAAUCCUUGUCGUGUACC